UUUUAAUGAGAGUUUGAUCCUGGCUCAGGACGAACGCUGGCGGCGUGCCUAAUACAUGCAAGUAGAACGCUGAUGUUUGGUGUUUACACUAGACUGAUGAGUUGCGAACGGGUGAGUAACGCGUAGGUAACCUGCCUCAUAGCGGGGGAUAACUAUUGGAAACGAUAGCUAAU
rnacentral:rRNA from 1 species